rnacentral:rRNA from 1 species
UACGUAGGGUGCAAGCGUUGUCCGGAAUUAUUGGGCGUAAAGAGCUCGCAGGCGGUCUGUCGCGUCGGCUGUGAAAUCCCGAGGCUCAACCUCGGGUCUGCAGUCGAUACGGGCAAACUGGAGUGUUGCAGGGGAGACUGGAAUUCCUGGUGUAGCGGUGAAAUGCGCAGAUAUCAGGAGGAACACCGGUGGCGAAGGCGGGUCUCUGGGCAACAACUGACGCUGAGGAGCGAAAGCGUGGGGAGCGAACAGG